rnacentral:rRNA from 1 species
GCUAGUAAUCGCGGAUCAGAAUGCCGCGGUGAAUACGUUCCCGGGUCUUGUACACACCGCCCGUCACACCAUGGGAGUCGGAAAUGCCCGAAGUCGGUGACCCAACUGAGAAGAGGGAGCCGCCGAAGGCAGGUCCGGUAACUGGGGUGAAGUCGUAACAAGGUAAC